rnacentral:rRNA from 1 species
UACGUAGGGGGCAAGCGUUGUCCGGAAUCAUUGGGCGUAAAGAGCGCGUAGGCGGCCCUGUAAGUCCGCUGUGAAAGUCAAGGGCUCAACCCUUGAAUGCCGGUGGAUACUGCAGGGCUAGAGUCCGGAAGAGGAGAGUGGAAUUCCUGGUGUAGCGGUGAAAUGCGCAGAUAUCAGGAAGAACACCGAUGGCGAAGGCAGCUCUCUGGGACGGUACUGACGCUGAGACGCGAAAGCGUGGGGAGCGAACAGG